rnacentral:lncRNA from 1 species
AAAAUUUUUAAAAUAUUUUAUUUAUUUAUUUUUUCAUUUCAAUAUAUUUUUUAUAUGUUUCUGAGUUAUUUCAAAAUAUUUCAACAGUUACCGUCCAUUAAAUUGAAUUAAAUAUGAGUUAAAUAUUUACCACAGUUUCAAAAAUUAAAAUACUAUUUUUGCCCUUAACUUAAGGAUAAAUAAAAAAUAUUAGUGAUAGUAGAAAGUUAUAUUUGAAAAUACUAAAAAGUAAAAUAUUUUUGUGUCCCUAACUUAAGAGUAAAUAAGAAAAGUCGGUGAUAAUAGAAUGGUAUAUUUGAAAGGACAAAACAGUAAUUUUAUAAAGAUAAUAGAGUUUAUUAAUAUAUUUUAACAAUAAGGAUAUAUUAGAAAUAAGAUGGAAUGUAAAAAUAAUAUUUUCAAUAUUAGCAUUCUCAGAAAGUCGAAAACUUUUUAGGAAUAUAUAAGCAACUGCCCAAAAAAUUUAAUAGUUGAUGUCUGAAGUUUUAAAUUCGAAUUCUAAUUAAUUCAUAUUUUUAGAGCGAAACGUGUAAGUUCUAACAAAUCAAUCAGGCAUAGUCGAAAGUCGUUUAACC